rnacentral:rRNA from 1 species
UCUCCAGACUCCUACGGGAGGCAGCAGUGAGGAAUAUUGGUCAAUGGUCGGGAGACUGAACCAGCCAAGCCGCGUGAGGGAGGAAGGUACAGAGUAUCGUAAACCUCUUUUGUCAGGGAACAAAGACUGGGACGCGUCCCCGGAUGAGUGUACCUGAAGAAAAAGCAUCGGCUAACUCCGUGCCAGCAGCCGCGGUAAUACGGAGGAUGCGAGCGUUAUCCGGAUUUAUUGGGUUUAAAGGGUGCGUAGGCGGAAUGCCAAGUCAGCGGUAAAAUCGCGGGGCUCAACCUCGCUCCGCCGUUGAAACUGACGUUCUUGAGUGGGCGAGAAGUAUGCGGAAUGCGUGGUGUAGCGGUGAAAUGCAUAGAUAUCACGCAGAACUCCGAUUGCGAAGGCAGCAUACCGGCGCCCAACUGACGCUGAAGCACGAAAGCGUGGGUAUCGAACAGGAUUAGAUACCCUUGUA